rnacentral:lncRNA from 1 species
UUUAUCCAAAGAAAAAAAUUGUAAUUCCUUUCCCUAUCAAAUUUUAUGUCAAAACCAAAAAAUAAAAUUUAAUUUCACUACUCUCCUCCAAUCCUUUCUUCUCCCUUCCUUUUCAUUCCAUUUUUUUCUUCUCUUUCCCUUUCUUUAAAUCAAACAUGGCCUUUUUUUAAAGUCAUUACUAUUUAAGAAACAUAUUUUAUCAAUAUUAUAACAUAUACGAUAGUUACGUUACAAUAACUUUGUUUAACAUUCAAAAUAAGUUAAUAAUCUACAUUGUAUUACGUAUCAUAUUAUUUUAAUAUUAUAUUUGUAUUUAUUAUAGUAAUUUAUUUAAAAUCAAAUUUUGAGUUACUGUAAUUGAAGGCUAUAUUCAUAAAAAAGUAUGACUAACUAAUUACGAAAUUAAAAGAGUUUAUGUGAUCAUUUAAGCAAAGUAUUAAACAAGGCUAUUAGCACCUAACUGAAGCCUUUUUUUAUUCUCAACAAUUCCUUUACACACACACACACACACACACACACACACACUCACACACACACGUGCGCGCGUUGUUUCUUGUUGAAAAGUCUUUGCAAUGACAUCAUUUAUAGCAAUUUGUCAUGAGCUGCUCAAAUUUUCCACUAACGAAGGUUAAGUUGGCACACAUGGGUACGCUCAAUAAAAGUCCAUCCAAAGGUAGGAUGCGCUCAGCAGCAGGGUGUGCUUAGUAAGUGAACAAACUAAAUUCACAAGCAAAAGUGAGCAAGCCCAGCUUGAUUCUAAAAAUCUCUACAACUCUCUGCAACUUGUAAAUAUCUAAACAAUUCUACACUUAUGUAUUCUACAACCUAGGGGAUAUUUAGGCAACUUGCGCAACUUGUGUGGAAGGCUCUAGACAGAGACAAGCCACAUGGGACCCUCCAUUUUACUCUCUCUUUUCUCUACCAUUUUCUGCAAACAUCUUGCUUGACUAGUUUCAGAAGUUCAAUAGGCUUACUAAGCAAUUUUUGUGCUAGAAGUUGUUUAAGUGUCGCACGGGUUAUUGCGCAAAGUAACCAUUCGAUGAAAAAUUGCUCUAGUCACUCAUUUACAACUUGAUGUCCAUUUUGCAAAUUUCCACCAUAGUUGAUUAAAAAGUUGGGUAUAUAUUAAAAAAUGUAAUUACCUCUCUUUUGAAUUUUAAUUAUGGUCUAGCUCCUAACUAGCUAACUCCUAAUUAAUUAUCUCUUUCCUUCUCUUCCAAAAUUCAAACUUAAAUAUGUCAUAAAUCUUUAGACACUUAUACCUCCAAAGUUUAGAAACAUAAUCAUGUAAACCCCAUAUUUUCAGUAACGAACACCAAAAUCCUCUUUUGACUAUGACAUUUUUUUAACUUUAUUAACUCAAAAAAACUAACUCCAAUGUUUUAAAAUAAACAAAAGUAUGAUAUUAAAAUAAAUGAACAUUAAAAUAAAUGAACAUUAAAAUAAAUGAACACACACACACACAUAUAUGAUUUCAAUAUUUAAAAA